AUGGGCACCUACAAGUACAUCCAAGAGUUGUAGUUGAAGAAGCAGUCAGAAUUCAUGCACUUUCUCCUGUGGCUGCGCUGCUGGGCGUAUCACCAGCCCUCGUGCUGCACUGUGCCACGUGCCCCAGGCGGCCCUAUAAGGAGUGCAGGCUGGGUUUACAAGGCCAAGCAAGGUUGUCAUUCACCAGAUCCACGUGGGCUGCUGCGGCUGCAAACGCCCGGUUCCCAAAGGUGCGACCUACAACAAGUCCAGUGUACACCAUGGCGUCAAACAGCUUAAACUCAAACACAGCCUGCAGUCCCGUGGCUGAGGAGCAAGCUGGACACCACUGUAGGGCUCUAAGAGUCCUGAAUUCCUACUGGAUUGGUGAAGAUUCCACAUAUACAUUUUUUGAGGUUACCCUGAUCAAUCCAUUCCAUAAAGCCAUCAGAAGAAAUCCAGACACCCAAUGGAUCACCAAGCCAGUCCACAAGCACCGGGAAAUGCGGGGCCUGACGUCGGCGAGCCCCAAGAGCCGUGACCUUGGAAAGGGCCACAAGUUCCACCAUACCUUUUUUUUGAGCUUAGCUGAGCUUUCCAAGGGUCAGUCUGAGUGGGAAGGAAUGCAGGAGAGAAACUGCCCCAAUCCCACCAACGUUAGGGUGUGCUUACUUCAGAAGAACUGGUGGCUGCUGCUCCUGCUGCUGCUGGCCUGCUCUUUGGUCAGCCACGCAGGCCUGCCAUCUGGAGGAAGCCAGCUGCACACACUGCUCUGUUACUGCCCCUCCCCCAACCCUGUCCAGGGCGGCCCUUGGAUCCCAGCUCGUGGAACUCUGGACUCCCUCCUUACCAUGCCUGGAGCUUCCCGGGUGUCUCACACUCUGCCUCUCCCUGCUGGGCCCCUGGCCGUUGACUCCCAGCCCCAUGGAGCUUUGAGCUCCCUCCCUGGAUGCACUACCCUGUCCCACCCUAAAUCACCCUGUGCCAGGCUGACCUACAGCACCCGGCUGUCUUGCACUCUUCCUCUCCCAGCUUGCCAUGGGACCAGAGAUCAACUGGAGUCCUGA